CCUACGGUGAGCAGCAGUGGGGAAUAUUGGACAAUGGGCGAAAGCCUGAUCCAGCCAUGCCGCGUGUGUGAAGAAGGCCUUCGGGUUGUAAAGCACUUUCAGUGGGGAAGAAAGCCUUGGGGCUAAUACCCUCGAGGAAGGACAUCACCCACAGAAGAAGCACCGGCUAACUCCGUGCCAGCAGCCGCGGUAAUACGGAGGGUGCGAGCGUUAAUCGGAAUUACUGGGCGUAAAGCGCGCGUAGGCGGUCUGAUAAGCCGGUUGUGAAAGCCCCGGGCUCAACCUGGGAACGGCAUCCGGAACUGUCAGGCUAGAGUGCAGGAGAGGAAGGUAGAAUUCCCGGUGUAGCGGUGAAAUGCGUAGAGAUCGGGAGGAAUACCAGUGGCGAAGGCGGUCUUCUGGACUGACACUGACGCUGAGGUGCGAAAGCGUGGGUAGCAAACAGGAUUAGAUACCCUAGUAGUC
rnacentral:rRNA from 1 species